AGGCCAGAAGGAGCAAAAGGAUAACGAGAGCUUGGCAUGAGAUGUCAUUGCAAUGGCAAUUAAAAAUGGCGGGCUUUAAAUAUCACAUAAUCUGUUGAUAGUCGCUUAAGACACUAGAGAUGGUCGCGGGAACUCGGAAAAUGUCUGGGGAGCAAACUAAAGCCAUGGCAAGAAAUCCCAUAAAAGUGGAAAGCGAAAACGCGCAAGAGAAAUCCGUUUUGGGGACUGCGGAAUAUUUAUAAAAGAAUGAAUGGCAAAUGAGCAUAGACGGCGAUGCAGAUAAGAAUGAAAAACUAAGUGCAAAAAAGACUAAAGUACCACAAAGAGAAAAAGUUAGAAGUACAAAAAUGUAGCGGCGAUUUUGAGAUCCUCCGAGGACUUUUUAUUC
ensembl:ncRNA lncRNA:CR45395 long non-coding RNA:CR45395